UACGGGUGGUGCUAGUGUUACUCCUCAUGACUGGGCGUUAAGGGUGCGUAGGCUGUGUAUUAAGUUUUUUGUCAAAAUGGCAAUAUUUUAUUUGUCCAUAAAAACGUACUGAUACACUUUGGAUUUUUAGUAGAGUUUUGUAUGGAAACUUCAAAAAGCUAGGGGUUUGAAAAUUCUGCUGGGAGAUUUUGAGGGGAACGUUUCGCUGGUUCAAAAAACAUUUAUUUCUUUACUAA
rnacentral:rRNA from 1 species